rnacentral:rRNA from 1 species
GACGAACGCUGGCGGCGUGCUUAACACAUGCAGGUCGAACGGAAAGGCCCCUUCGGGGGUACUCGAGUGGCGAACAGGUGAGUAACACGUGAGUAACCUGCCCUUGACUUCGGGAUAACUUCAGGAAACUGGGGCUAAUACCGGAUAGGAAUCCUUGCUGCAUGGUGGGGGUUGGAAAGCUUCGGCGGUUUUGGAUGGACUCGCGGCUUAUCAGCUUGUUGGUGGGGUAGUGGCUUACCAAGGCUUUGACGGGUAGCCGGCCUGAGAGGGCGACCGGCCACAUUGGGACUGAGAUACGGCCCAGACUCCUACGGGAGGCAGCAGUGGGGAAUAUUGCACAAUGGGCGGAAGCCUGAUGCAGCAACGCCGCGUGCGGGAUGACGGCCUUCGGGUUGUAAACCGCUUUCAGCAGGGGCGAAGCUUGUGGUGACGGUACCUGCAGAAGAAGCACCGGCUAACUACGU